GCGCGCGGCGAGGGGGGCGGGACGCCGGCGGGCGGCCGCGCGGGCGACCGAAGUGCGGCUCGGGGCAGCAAAUCUAGAGCACAGAGGGGCGGAACGUCGCCGGUCGCUGCCGAACCGGACCCGAGAGGCUCUGACGACACAACACGGCUGCGACGUGCUCCCGUUCUGACGUCAUUUUUCCCCGCAUGGUCGUGAUGUAUUUCUUCUCGGAUGUCACCUUGUCUGCAUGGUUGUGACGUGUCCCCGCUCUGACGUCAUCUUCGCAUACAGUGUGGACGUUUUCCGGCUCCAAUGACACCCAAUCAGCUAGGGAAAGCACAAGCUGCCCAGUGCCACACCCCUGGCCUCUCCCGACCCCUCCUUGCGGGGUCCUGGGGCACUAAGGCGUGAGGACAAGGGCCCCAUGCCCCUGCACACAACCCACCCACUGUCCUCCGGAGUCUGCUUUCAGGCUGAGGUGGCUGAGAGCUGGGCCCAGCACCUUCUUCCCCAGUCUGCAGCGAUCACGGAGAAGUUCCGAAGGUGAAAGCUGAUGAGGACACCACCCAAGGACAAGCCCUGGCCCCUGGAUCUGGCGAUGCGGCUGCGACUGCCCUGGAGCUGGAGGAAUGUAUGCUUUUAGGGAGAGAAAAGCAUUGCCUGUAUGCGUGUGGACCUGGGGACGAACACACAACCCAGGUACGUGCCAGGACCAGGAAUCGAACCUGCAACACUUCAGUGUAUGGGAUGACGCCCGAAGCACGGAGCCACCGUUGCCAACGCUGCUUUUGUCUUCCCAACAGUCUGGAAUAUGCAGCAGCCUUACUUGAAAGCUAAGGCAUUUCUUGUACAGAUAACAGAAGCACUGAAUGCUGGCCUGAAGAAGAAUGAACCAUCUUUCCUUUGAACAUUCAAGAAUGUUCAGGGCCCAGCAGCAGUAAGGCCUGCCUGAGUGUGGUCAGUGGGCUAAUAAAAUGGGUGUAAUAAUUCAGAGUUUUAAUGUGAACAUUUUGCCUAAAGCAUCAUAUGGCGUGCUGGAGUGUGAUGUUACAGAAUAACAUGCCUGUGAUUUUACAAUAAAGGCUUUUGUAAUAAAAGGGCAUUAUUUGUGCUGGA